rnacentral:rRNA from 1 species
UAGGGAAUCUUCGGCAAUGGACGGAAGUCUGACCGAGCAACGCCGCGUGAGUGAAGAAGGUUUUCGGAUCGUAAAGCUCUGUUGUUAGAGAAGAACGUUGGUAGGAGUGGAAAAUCUACCAAGCGACGGUAACUAACCAGAAAGGGACGGCUAACUACGUGCCAGCAGCCGCGGUAAUACGUAGGUCCCGAGCGUUGUCCGGAUUUAUUGGGCGUAAAGCGAGCGCAGGCGGUUCUUUAAGUCUGAAGUUAAAGGCAGUGGCUUAACCAUUGUACGCUUUGGAAACUGGAGGACUUGAGUGCAGAAGGGGAGGGUGGAAUUCCAUGUGUAGCGGUGAAAUGCGUAGAUAUAUGGAGGAACACCGGUGGCGAAAGCGGCUCUCUGGUCUGUAGCUGACGCUGAGGCUCGAAAGCGUGGGGAGCAAACAGG